CGAGGUCACUGGGCGACCGCCACAACAAUUUUGUGGAGGAAAGUCCGAGCUCCUCCGGAUAAGAUGCCCGUUAACGACGGGGCGGGGCAACCCGACGGAAAGUGCCACAGAAAAUAUACCGCCGUAAGGUAAGGGUGAAAUGGUGAGGUAAGAGCUCACCGCUUAAAUGGAGACAUUUAAGGCACGGUAAACCCCAUCUGGUGCAAGGCCUAAUUGGAGUUAUAGGAAUCCGGUUCCAGUAAANUGGAGUUCACAUUGAAUCUAAACUCCGGGUUGGCCGCUCGACCCAAAGGGUAACUUUUGGGCUAGAUAGAUGGUCGCCGCUUCGAGAAAUCGAAGUACAGAACUCGGCUUAUAGGUGACCUCACUAC
rnacentral:RNase_P_RNA from 1 species